rnacentral:rRNA from 1 species
ACCCAGACUCCUACGGGAGGCAGCAGUGGGGGAUAUUGCACAAUGGGGGGAACCCUGAUGCAGCGACGCCGCGUGAGUGAAGAAGUAUUUCGGUAUGUAAAGCUCUAUCAGCAGGGAAGAAAAUGACGGUACCUGACUAAGAAGCCCCGGCUAACUACGUGCCAGCAGCAGCGGUAAUACGUAGGGGGCAAGCGUUAUCCGGAUUUACUGGGUGUAAAGGGAGCGUAGACGGCAUGGCAAGUCAGAUGUGAAAGCCCGGGGCUCAACCCCGGGACUGCAUUUGAAGCUGUCAGGCUGGAGUGCAGGAGAGGUAAGUGGAAUUCCUAGUGUAGCGGUGAAAUGCGUAGAUAUUAGGAGGAACACCAGUGGCGAAGGCGGCUUACUGGACUGUAACUGACGUUGAGGCUCGAAAGCGUGGGGAGCAAACAGGAUUAGAUACCCCUG